GAUGAACGCUGGCGGCGUGCCUAAUACAUGCAAGUCGAGCGAACGGACGAGAAGCUUGCUUCUCUGAUGUUAGCGGCGGACGGGUGAGUAACACGUGGAUAACCUACCUAUAGACUGGGAUAACUUCGGGAAACCGUAGCUAAUACCGGAUAAUAUUUUGAACCGCAUGGUUCAAAAGUGAAAGACGGUCUUGCUGUCACUUAUAGAUGGAUCCGCGCUGCAUUAGCUAGUUGGUAAGGUAACGGCCUACCAAGGCAACGAUGCAUAGCCGACCUGAGAGGGUGAUCGGCCACACUGGAACUGAGACACGGUCCAGACUCCUACGGGAGGCAGCAGUAGGGAAUCUUCCGCAAUGGGCGAAAGCCUGACGGAGCAACGCCGCGUGAGUGAUGAAGGUCUUCGGAUCGUAAAACUCUGUUAUUAGGGAAGAACAUAUGUGUAAGUAACUGUGCACAUCUUGACGGUACCUAAUCAGAAAGCCACGGCUAACUACGUG
rnacentral:rRNA from 1 species